UACGGAGGAUGCGAGCGUUGUCCGGAUUUAUUGGGUUUAAAGGGUGCGUAGGCGGAUGAGUAAGUCAGUGGUGAAAGCCUGCAGCUUAACUGUAGAAUUGCCAUUGAUACUGCUUGUCUUGAGGAUAGUUGAGGUGGGCGGAAUAUGACAUGUAGCGGUGAAAUGCUUAGAUAUGUCAUAGAACACCGAUUGCGAAGGCAGCUCACUAUGCUAUAUCUGACGCUGAGGCACGAAAGCGUUGGUAGCAAACAGG
rnacentral:rRNA from 1 species